CGAAGCUCUAACAUCUUCAGGAGAACAUCCUCCUCUGCUUGUAUUGUUUUUCUUCUGCUCUGUCAAAACCUUCCUCUAACCCUGAAGGUUUCUCUGUUACAGAGCCCUGGGGCCGUAUGUUCGGUUACCAUCUCCACGUGGUGGGUGGUAAAGCAGAGAGACCAGCAGUUAUGUGGCUGCUCUACUCGUUAAUCCUUGUCUGUCUGAUUACCAUGGAGGGGAAUAAAAAGCCCUGGCAACACACGGUCACACUCUGAGGAUUUGCAUAGUAUAUUAUGGUUUGCUAAGAUCUCAUUCCUGUCCUGACAUUUUGCAGGAGCUGGUGAGACUCCUCUCCAUUUUUCCUCUUCCAGAAUAAAUGUCAACUUCCAAAUCUGCAAGAGGAGCCAAGGGGAGGGCCAGGACAGGUAGCUGCAUCUCAUCGACCUCAGCUCAUUACCACCAUUGGGAGCGUGGAGCGGGGCCAACUGAUAGAAGUGAUGGAUGUCCGUGCAGGCCAGAGACCUGAGGGAGGCACAUGAUGAAGUCUCCAGAGCUGCCUGCUGAUGGGACCCAUGGCCGCCAUCCUGUACCCUGCUCUGAGUACCCAGAGACCCCCAGCACUGCCUGAGUCCACCCGGAAACAGUCUGCAAACCUCAGGUGCUGUACAUUGUUGAGGUUCACAUUGCUCCUCUGGUCCUUGGCUCAGCUGAGUGCAUUGUUUGAAAGGGGAAGAGGAAAAAUCCCCUUCACAGGGCAAUAUUUCUUUAGUACCUCGGUAAUGAAGGUGGAUUGGGAAAUGAACCGUUCCCCAUUACAGUGGGACCUAACUGCACAGCCCAUGCUUUCCGGUUAAAAUUUGAUUGCCUUGAAUCCUGAAGAUUAUGGAAAAUAAGAAAAAGGCCCAGUAAAAUUUAUGGCUUUUAAUCAUAAAGCAGUAGAAUUGCAGUAAAUCUGUCAUAAGCAAGCAGAUAGGGACCCAGAAAAAAGAGAGGGAAGCCAUAGGCCUGGUGCUGGGGUCUGGAAGAGCUGGCCUUCAGGGUGGAACUGGGCUGCAGCCCCCACCUCCUCCAGGCUGCUCAUCCCACAUGUGUGGGACACUUCUGUGCUGGGCAGGGCUGGGAGGCAUGUAGAUAGUGAGGAAUGGUGAGGUGGGAGCAGGGGAUGGGGCAGGAUGGGGGAGCCCAUCACUCCCAUUUUUAAGAAAGGGAGACCUGAAUAACUACAGACUGGGAAGAUCAUGGAGAUGAUCCUCCUGAAAGAGAUGUUAAGGCACAUGAGGGAUGAGGAGGUGACCCGAGGCAUCUAGUGUGGCUUAAUCAAGGGCAGAUUGUGCCUGACCCAUCUGAUGGCCUUCUAUGAUGGAAUGAUGGCACUGAUGUACAAAAACUGAGUAUGAUCCAGCAGUGUGCUCCUGCAGCCUGGAAGGCCAACAGCAUCCUGGGCUGCAUCAACAGAGCAGUAGCAGCGGGCAGGGAGGGGAUUGUCCCCCUCUGUUUUGUAAUUGUGAGGCCCCAUCUGGAGUACUGCAUCCAGGCCUGGGGCCCCCAGCACAAGAAGGAUGUGGAGCAUCCCCUCCAUGCACAGGGUGCAGGAUGGGACCCACUGAAGGGAGUGCUGGGGGAGGUGUGUGAUGAGAGGAGACCAUGGAGAGUGAGGAGAGCACAGGCAGAGGAAUGACAGCAGGGAGAGGUGCAUGGAGUGAUAAGGAGGAAAAGGGGAGAAAGUCUACGAUUGACUGAAGGAGAGAUAAGAGAGGAGGGCAGUUAUUGGGAACAGAGCAGAAAAAUGGAGUGGUGAUAAAGCCUGAUAGAAAUGGGAAGGCCAUGAGGAGCUGGGCAGCUCCUGAUGAGCAGCCUCCCUUCCGUGCCCUAAGCACAUCUCUGCCUGGUUUUAUACAUUGUUUUAUAAAGCUUUGUAUUUAUCCUUAUUAAAAAGUGUGAAGCAUCUAUCUGUGACACACAGCCCGUGGUCACCUGAUGAGCAGUGCUGGCAGUCAGCCCCUGCUCUCACCUGGUUAAACUGCAAUAGAACCACGCUGUAAAUUUCAGUGAAGGAGGGAGAGAAAAUAAGUUUAUUCUAUUCUUUUUUUUUCUUCCUCCCCAUCUUUAUGGCCAAGAAAAUUGCUGAUCUGAGAUGCUGGCCCUUCUUGAAACGCUUUUCUUCUGCUCCAUCCAUCUGCUUUAAUCACCCGCUAACUGAGAGAAAGAAAUGAUCCAGCUCACAGAGCAGCAAAGAUAAAGAAGAGUGGCUGGUGCACUGCCAGAUUUCCAGACGAGCCUGGAAGCCAGAUUCCCUCGGACGUGCCUGAGGGUGUUUGCAGGUCUGACUGCCAGCUGCCAUGUGCCCAAAUCCUCCGUGAGAGUCACUGCAGUUUAUUUCCCCCCCCACCCUCCCCCUUUUUGUUGUUUUUCCCUCUCAGAAUUAUAUCUGACACCAGAGUCCAUCAGACAAAGUCCUUACAAACACAGGAGUCCUGAAG